GAAAAGAAAAAAAAUCCUGUCACAUUGUGAAACAAUAAGUUCUGUGCUUAUUUCUAGUCGUUUUGCAUGAAGCAGUCCACUAAUCUGUGGGAAUAGCGGAGAUGAAAUAUGUUCAUCUGAUGCUGACUUUGAGGUUUAUGUGGGAACCAGGAUUACACCAGUCCUCCAAAAUCGUAUUUCUGAAGACACAAGCCUGAAGAAAUAUGAUUGAGUCUUUCAUUUUUGGCUCUAGCUCAAUUAAAAUGGAAAAGUCUGCAAACUGUUCUUUUGCAGAAAAUCUGUUUUGGCUGUCAAAAUAUAAGAGUGAAAACA